UACGGGGGGGGCAAGCGUUGUUCGGAAUUACUGGGCGUAAAGGGCUCGUAGGUGGCCAACUAAGUCGGACGUGAAAUCCCUCAGCUUAACUGGGGAACUGCGUCCGAUACUGGAUGGCUUGAGUUUGGGAGAGGGAUGCGGAAUUCCAGGUGUAGCGGUGAAAUGCGUAGAUAUCAAGAGGAACACCUGAGGUGAAGACGGGUUGCUGGGCUGACACUGACGCUGAGGCGCGAAAGCGUGGGGAGCGAACAGG
rnacentral:rRNA from 1 species